rnacentral:rRNA from 2 species
AAAUUGAAGAGUUUGAUCAUGGCUCAGAUUGAACGCUGGCGGCAGGCCUAACACAUGCAAGUCGAACGGUAACAGGAAGCAGCUUGCUGUUUCGCUGACGAGUGGCGGACGGGUGAGUAAUGUCUGGGAAACUGCCUGAUGGAGGGGGAUAACUACUGGAAACGGUAGCUAAUACCGCAUAACGUCGCAAGACCAAAGAGGGGGACCUUCGGGCCUCUUGCCAUCGGAUGUGCCCAGAUGGGAUUAGCU